GCCCAAGAGAUCGGGAUAACACCUGGAAACAGAUGCUAAUACCGGAUAACAACAGAUGAUGCCUAUCAACUGUUUAAAAGAUGGUUCUGCUAUCACUCUUGGAUGGACCUGCGGUGCAUUAGCUAGUUGGUAGGGUAACGGCCUACCAAGGCGAUGAUGCAUAGCCGAGUUGAGAGACUGAUCGGCCACAUUGGGACUGAGGCACGGCCCAAACUCCUACGGGAGGCAGCAGCC
rnacentral:rRNA from 1 species